UCGAGCGAGAUCUUCGGAUCUAGCGGCGGACGGGUGAGUAACGCGUGGGAACGUACCCUUCACUGCGGAAUAGCCACUGGAAACGGUGAGUAAUACCGCAUACGCCCUUCGGGGGAAAGAUUUAUCGGUGAAGGAUCGGCCCGCGUCUGAUUAGGUAGUUGGUGGGGUAAUGGCCUACCAAGCCUACGAUCAGUAGCUGGUUUGAGAGGAUGAUCAGCCACACUGGGACUGAGACACGGCCCAGACUCCUACGGGAGGCAGCAGUGAGGAAUCUUGGACAAUGGGGGAAACCCUGAUCCAGCCAUGCCGCGUGAAUGAUGAAGGCCUUAGGGUUGUAAAGUUCUUUCAACGGUGAAGAUAAUGACGGUAGCCGUAGAAGAAACCCCGGCUAACUCCGUGCCAGCAGCCGCGGUAAUACGGAGGGGGUUAGCGUUGUUCGGAAUUACUGGGCGUAAAGCGCGCGUAGGCGGAUUGGAAAGUUAGAGGUGAAAUCCCAGGGCUUAACCCUGGAACUGCCUUUAAAACUCCCAGUCUAGAGUUCGAGAGAGGUGAGUGGAAUUCCGAGUGUAGAGGUGAAAUUCGUAGAUAUUCGGAGGAACACCAGUGGCGAAGGCGGCUCACUGGCUCG
rnacentral:rRNA from 1 species